rnacentral:rRNA from 1 species
CUACAGGCUUAACACAUGCAAGUCGAGGGGCAGCAUGGUCUUAGCUUGCUAAGGCCGAUGGCGACCGGCGCACGGGUGAGUAACACGUAUCCAACCUGCCGUCUACUCUUGGACAGCCUUCUGAAAGGAAGAUUAAUACAAGAUGGCAUCAUGAGUCCGCAUGUUCACAUGAUUAAAGGUAUUCCGGUAGACGAUGGGGAUGCGUUCCAUUAGAUAGUAGGCGGGGUAACGGCCCACCUAGUCUUCGAUGGAUAGGGGUUCUGAGAGGAAGGUCCCCCACAUUGGAACUGAGACACGGUCCAAACUCCUACGGGAGGCAGCAGUGAGGAAUAUUGGUCAAUGGGCGAGAGCCUGAACCAGCCAAGUAGCGUGAAGGAUGACUGCCCUAUGGGUUGUAAACUUCUUUUAUAAAGGAAUAAAGUCGGGUAUGGAUACCCGUUUGCAUGUACUUUAUGAAUAAGGAUCGGCUAACUCCGUGCCAGCAGCCGCGGUAAUACGGAGGAUCCGAGCGUUAUCCGGAUUUAUUGGGUUUAAAGGGAGCGUAGAUGGAUGUUUAAGUCAGUUGUGAAAGUUUGCGGCUCAACCGUAAAAUUGCAGUUGAUACUGGAUAUCUUGAGUGCAGUUGAGGCAGGCGGAAUUCGUGGUGUAGCGGUGAAAUGCUUAGAUAUCACGAAGAACUCCGAUUGCGAAGGCAGCCUGCUAAGCUGCAACUGACAUUGAGGCUCGAAAGUGU